rnacentral:tRNA from 1 species
UUACUUUGGCAGAUUAGUGUAUUUGAUUUAGAAUCAUUUUAAGUAAAGAUUUUACAGGUAAUAN